rnacentral:misc_RNA from 1 species
UAAACCUCUGCGAACCAAGUUUAU